rnacentral:misc_RNA from 1 species
AAGGUAGCCGUACGAGAACGUGCGGCUGGAACACCUCCUUUCUAAGGAGUAAACAUACGUUUUAAGUUUGCUUAAAACGGGAUGUUAACGGUCGGUUCUUGAUUUACAACAUUCAGGAUUGUCUUCUUUUGCGGGGUGUUUAUUUGUGUGUUAUUUAGUUGUUUUGUGCGCUGAAAGUGAUAGUUAUGACGACGCUAUGGUCAGACAAUUUUAUGUCGGUGUAUUAAUAUGAAGUUGCUUGGCUACAGGACUAUAUCUUUAAACGGGCGUAAGUGAGUAGUUGUUUAAACGGGCCUAUAG